GUUUUAAUAUCUAAAAAUCAAUUAAUUGGAACUAUACAGAGAAGAUUAGCAUUGUCCCUGCGUAAGGAUGACACACAAAUUUGUGAAGAAUUCCAUAUUUUU
rnacentral:snRNA from 1 species